GGGGAUGUAGCUCAGUGGUAGAGCGUUCGCUUUGCCUGUGAAAGGCCGGGUUCGAUCCCCGGCAUCUCCA
rnacentral:tRNA from 1 species